AACCUUACCAGGUCUUGACAUCCUUUGACCAUCCUAGAGAUAGGANUUUCCCUUCGGGGACAAAGUGACAGGUGGUGCAUGGUUGUCGUCAGCUCGUGUCGUGAGAUGUUGGGUUAAGUCCCGCAACGAGCGCAACCCUUAUUGUUAGUUGCCAUCAUUCAGUUGGGCACUCUAGCGAGACUGCCGCAGACAAUGCGGAGGAAGGUGGGGAUGACGUCAAAUCAUCAUGCCCCUUAUGACCUGGGCUACACACGUGCUACAAUGGAGAGUACAACGAGUCGCAAAGCCGCGAGGCUAAGCCAAUCUCUUAAAGCUCUUCUCAGUUCGGAUUGUAGGCUGCAACUCGCCUACAUGAAGCCGGAAUCGCUAGUAAUCGCGGAUCAGCACGCCGCGGUGAAUACGUUCCCGGGC
rnacentral:rRNA from 1 species